UUUUGCUCUCUCGCCAAGAUGUCUGUUACUGAGCCGGCUGUAAUGCUUACUUAUUGAGCUCAGCAGUUUACUAUUUUUAUGCAUUUGUGUGAGAAAUAAGAUUUUCCAUUGAAGUCUUUUAAUAGAAUUGGUCCUGGAGACAGACAAAAUCAGGGAGAAUAAAUUAAUUUUACUUCACUUAAUGAUUGUGCGAGUGCUGAGGAGCCACUCCUCAAAUUGCCAUUCUUAU
rnacentral:misc_RNA from 1 species